AUGAACGCUAGCGGCAGGCUUAACACAUGCAAGUCGAGGGGCAGCGGGGAGUAGCAAUACUCCGCCGGCGACCGGCGCACGGGUGCGUAACGCGUAUGCAACCUACCUUUAACAGGGGCAUAACACUGAGAAAUUGGUACUAAUUCCCUAUAACAUUCGAGAAGGCAUCUUCUUGGGUUAAAAACUCCGGUGGUUAAAGAUGGGCAUGCGUUGUAUUAGCUAGUUGGUGAGGUAACGGCUCACCAAGGCAACGAUACAUAGGGGGACUGAGAGGUUAACCCCCCACAUUGGUACUGAGACACGGACCAAACUCCUACGGGAGGCAGCAGUGAGGAAUAUUGGUCAAUGGACGCAAGUCUGAACCAGCCAUGCCGCGUGCAGGAAGACGGCUCUAUGAGUUGUAAACUGCUUUUGUACUAGGGUAAACGCUUCUACGUGUAGGAGCCUGAAAGUAUAGUACGAAUAAGGAUCGGCUAACUCCGUGCCAGCAGCCGCGGUAAUACGGAGGAUCCAAGCGUUAUCCGGAUUUAUUGGGUUUAAAGGGUGCGUAGGCGGUUUGAUAAGUUAGAGGUGAAAUACCGGGGCUCAACUCCGGAACUGCCUCUAAUACUGUUGAACUAGAGAGUAGUUGCGGUAGGCGGAAUGUAUGGUGUAGCGGUGAAAUGCUUAGAGAUCAUACAGAACACCGAUUGCGAAGGCAGCUUACCAAACUAUAUCUGACGUUGAGGCACGAAAGCGUGGGGAGCAAACAGGAUUAGAUACCCUGGUAGUCCACGCAGUAAACGAUGAUAACUCGUUGUCGGCGAUACACAGUCGGUGACUAAGCGAAAGCGAUAAGUUAUCCACCUGGGGAGUACGUUCGCAAGAAUGAAACUCAAAGGAAUUGACGGGGGCCCGCACAAGCGGAGGAACAUGUGGUUUAAUUCGAUGAUACGCGAGGAACCUUACCCGGGCUUGAAAGUUAGUGACGAUUCUGGAAACAGGAUUUCCCUUCGGGGCACGAAACUAGGUGCUGCAUGGUUGUCGUCAGCUCGUGUCGUGAGAUGUUGGGUUAAGUCCCGCAACGAGCGCAACCCCUGUUCUUAGUAGCCAGCGGUUCGGCCGGGCACUCUAGGGAGACUGCCAGGGAUAACCUGGAGGAAGGCGGGGAUGACGUCAAAUCAUCAUGCCCCUUAUGACCGGGGCUACACACGUGUUACAAUGGUAGGUACAGAGGGCCGCUACCCCGCGAGGGGAUGCCAAUCUCGAAAGCCUAUCUCAGUUCGGAUCGGAGGCUGAAACCCGCCUCCGUGAAGUUGGAUUCGCUAGUAAUCGCGCAUCAGCCAUGGCGCGGUGAAUACGUUCCCGGGCCUUGUACACACCGCCCGUCAAGCCAUGGAAGCUGGGGGUGCCUGAAGUUCGUGACCGCAAGGAGCGACCUAGGGCAAAACCGGUGACUGGGGCU
rnacentral:rRNA from 1 species